rnacentral:tRNA from 1 species
GAGUCCCUAGCUCAGUUGGUAGAGCACCGGCCUUUUAAGCCGAGGGUCGCGGGUUCGAAUCCCGCGGGACUCA